rnacentral:lncRNA from 1 species
UAAUCUUCAAUCUCAUACCUUAGUCGCUCUCACCUCUCGCUCAUAGUCUCACGCUCAAAUGGAUAAACGACAUCGUGUAAUCGUGCAUCCUUGGCUCCUCCUUGCCUCCCUCUUCGUUCAUCACCUCCGCUAUACCUCCUCAUAUCAUCUUCGCCCUUCACUUUAGACUUUCUCCGCCUCCAAGCUUCAGAAUUUCACCAUCUGAAGUGAAGAACUUCGGCCAACACCGAAGAACUCAACAACAUUAGGCGAUUUCUUAUGAUUUCAGGUAAACAUACAUAAUUAGAUACACAUUUACUUUAAGUUUUAGUACAUAUUUAAUUUUCUUUUUGUGCUUUGAUUCUUAUAAGUACAAGAAGCAUAUGUUUCUUUUUGUAAUUUAACAAUCUUGUAAUUGUUUAUACUUCACAUAAACACUGCAAAUUUGUAUUUGUUUAUAUUUAAGUCAUUAGCAAACUAACAAUGGUGUAUAAAGUUUACUAUAUAAUGAGCUUACGAGAGGUUAUAAAUGUGUUUAAGUAUCUAAUUCUAUUUUUAUACCUGAUUAUUUCACAUUAUAGUUGUCUAUGUGUGUAAUUGUGUAUGUUUUUAACAAUAUGGCUCUAAUUAUAGUAUAUGUUUGUUGUUUUAGAAUGGCUACAAAUGAAGGUGUAAUAGAUGUGGACGAUCAAAAUGAUGAAGUUGAAGUCCCUGGAAGAAAAUAAGCCAAAGUUGAAGUCACUUGUUUGGCAACAUUUUCCAUAUAAGAAAUGUGCUAAAAAGUCAAAAUGCAAACAUUUUAAAAUGGUUUUAGCAUGUGGAACUAGAGUUAAUGGUACCUCUGAGUUAGUGAGUCAUCUAAAAAAUACUUGUGUAAGAUCCCCCUUUACAAAAAGAGAAAAAAUGAUUCAAAAAAUCAAUCAAUCUUAAACUUCAAGCCAAAGAGACAGAAGGGGGUGAGUCUUUAAUGAGAAGAUGAUGGGUUUAAAAAUUGGUAAGGUUUUCUUUAUAUGUUUGAGUUCAUAUUUCAAAUAUACUUUUAUAUAUAUAUAUAUAUAUAUAUAUAUNNNNNNNNNNNNNNNNNNNNNNNNNNNNNNUAGGAAACACUAGUGGAAAUGAUGGAUUUUUGGGUAAGUUGUGGAUUUUGGCUAGUGAUGUCUAUUGUUUGAUCGAUAAUUGGAAAGUGAAAAACUGAAAAAACUUUAUAUUUGUUUUUAUUUAAUCUGUUGCAAGUUUAUGGAUUUUAGGCCAAUCUAGUGGCUAAUGUUGUAUGCUUGUUUAAACUUGUAAUUUCCUACUUUGACUUGUUGCAAUUUAUGUCAUUUAAAUGGCUAUUGGCCUACUGCAUAUGAUAUUAUUGGCUCUUAAGAUGAUAAAUGAAUAUGGUUAUUUACUUAUUUCAAACAGUUGAAUUUUGCUAGUUUUGGGCAAUUUUAGUAAUUUAUGGUUUAAAACCGAAAUCGCACCAUUACAAACCGCAACCGCAAAAACCAUACCGCAAUAAACUGCACUUUGCAGUUUUACACAAAUAAAACUGCAUCAGUACCAUACUGCACCAUGCUCACCCCUACUUUUUUUAAGUAGUUUUAUAAUUGUAUAAAUUUUAUUUGGUUCUAUAUUGAUCUCUCGUCAGACUAUGUGNUUAAAGUAUAUAUAUAAAUAUAUAUUUGUUUAUUUAUUUACAAUUGGAGAAAUGAAUUAGAGUGGAAAUCUGGAAAAAAAUGGGACAGUGGGGGAAAACGAAACACCUCUUCAAAACAAAUUUGAAAGAAAAAGUCUAUAAAACCUAAAUCUAACCUAAUCUUCAAUCUCAUACCUUAGUCGCUCUCACCUCUCGCUCAUAGUCUCACGCUCAAAUGGAUAAACGACAUCGUGUAAUCGUGCAUCCUUGGCUCCUCCUUGCCUCCCUCUUCGUUCAUCACCUCCGCUAUACCUCCUCAUAUCAUCUUCGCCCUUCACUUUAGACUUUCUCCGCCUCCAAGCUUCAGAAUUUCACCAUCUGAAGUGAAGAACUUCGGCCAACACCGAAGAACUCAACAACAUUAGGCGAUUUCUUAUGAUUUCAGGUAAACAUACAUAAUUAGAUACACAUUUACUUUAAGUUUUAGUACAUAUUUAAUUUUCUUUUUGUGCUUUGAUUCUUAUAAGUACAAGAAGCAUAUGUUUCUUUUUGUAAUUUAACAAUCUUGUAAUUGUUUAUACUUCACAUAAAC